rnacentral:rRNA from 1 species
CCGGUAAGGUGAUAUGAACCGUUAUAACCGGCGAUUUCCGAAUGGGGAAACCCAGUGUGACUCGUCACACUAUCAUUAACUGAAUCCAUAGGUUAAUGAGGCGAACCGGGGGAACUGAAACAUCUAAGUACCCCGAGGAAAAAAAAUCAACCGAGAUUCCCCCAGUAGCGGCGAGCGAACGGGGAGGAGCCCAGAGCCUGAAUCAGCAUGUGUGUUAGUGGAAGCGUCUGGAAAGGCGCGCGAUACAGGGUGACAGCCCCGUACACAAAAGCGCAUGUGCUGUGAGCUCGAUGAGUAGGGCGGGACACGUGGUAUCCUGUCUGAAUAUGGGGGGACCAUCCUCCAAGGCUAAAUACUCCUGACUGACCGAUAGUGAACCAGUACCGUGAGGGAAAGGCGAAAAGAACCCCGGCGAGGGGAGUGAAAAAGAACCUGAAACCGUGUACGUACAAGCAGUGGGAGCACAGGUUUACCUGUGUGACUGCGUACCUUUUGUAUAAUGGG